rnacentral:tRNA from 1 species
UGGCGGGUGGCUCAGUGGUUAGAGCCUAGGGCUUGUGACCGAAAGGGCCGAGUUCGAAUCUCACACAAGGCAG